rnacentral:rRNA from 1 species
UACGUAGGGGGCUAGCGUUGUCCGGAAUCAUUGGGCGUAAAGCGCGCGUAGGCGGCCAGAUAAGUCCGGUGUGAAAGUCAAAGGCUCAACCUUUGAAUGCCGCUGGAAACUGUCUGGCUUGAGUCCGGAAGGGGCGAGUGGAAUUCCUGGUGUAGCGGUGAAAUGCGCAGAUAUCAGGAGGAACACCAAUGGCGAAGGCAGCGUCCUGGCAAGUCACUGACGCUCAGGUGCGAAAGCUAGGGGAGCGAACGGG